GAUGAACGCUGGCGGCGUGCCUAAUACAUGCAAGUCGAGCGAAGCGGGGACGGGUGAGUAACACGUGGAUAACCUCCUAUAAGACUGGGAAAACUUAGGGAAACCGGAGCCAAACCGGAUACUUUUAGCUGGAUCCGCGCCGCAUUAGCUAGUUGGUAAGGUAACGGCUUACCAGGGCCACGAUCCGUAGCCGACCUGAAAGGGUGAUCGUCCACACUGUAACUGAGACACGGUCCAGACUCCUACGGGAGGCAGCAGUAGGGAAUCUUCCGCAAUGGGCGAAAGCCUGACGGAGCAACGCCGCGUGAGUGAUGAAGGUCUUCGGAUUGUAAAACGCUGUUAUUGGGGAGGCGGUACCGGAUCAGAAAGCCACGGCUAACUACGUGCCAGCAGCCGCGGUAAUAC
rnacentral:rRNA from 1 species